rnacentral:rRNA from 1 species
UACGAGAGGCGCAAACGUUAUUCGGAAUUACUGGGCUUAAAGAGUUCGUAGGCGGCGCAGAAAGUAGGGUGUGAAAGCCCUCGGCUUAACCGAGGAAUUGCGCUCUAAACUACUGUGCUUGAGGGACCUAGAGGUGAGCGGAACUGAUGGUGGAGCGGUGAAAUGCGUUGAUAUCAUCAGGAACACCGGAGGCGAAGGCGGCUCACUGGGGGUCUUCUGACGCUGAGGAACGAAAGCCAGGGGAGCAAACGGG